AAAGGAGCUGAGCUGGCAAGUGAGAAGGGAGCUGAGGAGCUUAAGUGACACGUGGAAAUCAUCAGAAGAAAGAUGGAUGAGUAUAAAUAGAUUUGUAGAGUGGCAGUUAGAGAGGAUCGAUCAUUUUACAAUAAUAUUGAUCUAAGCGUAUGAGCUUGAUCCUUACUCGUAUGAGAGUGAGAGAUUCGAUCGUAUGAGAUCGUCUCUAUUGUUGUAAUUUGAUUGAGCAAACCUUUAUAAGAAGUAUUCAGUUGAGUAUAGACUUUUAUACUUAACCAUUGGUGCGGUGAGCAGGUUCGUUACGACGCGAAGGUGGGAAUCGAGCUGAUCGGAGCUUGAUUUGAGCUGCGGAGAGUAGUUCCGGCGAAGAGAAGUUUACCGGCGAAAUCGUAAGAAUGUCGAAGGCGAAAGUUGGGGAGCCCAGUCCGUCGCGAGACGAAACGGAGGAGGAAACCGAUAACGAGUUGCAAGAUAUGGAUCUAGAGUUCUUGAAAGGAGGCUACAUUCGAUUGAAUCGCGCAAGAAAAGAAGCAGAUGCUCGAUUCGAGGAGCUCAAUCAACGACUCGGUUCUAUCUUACAGAUCUUGGAGAAGUCAAACAAUCGCAACGACGAUCGUCCUCAUCACGAUCCAAGAUCAUCUAAUCCUCAGGUAUAUCACUCGAACUGGGAACGAAAUCCGGAGGAACGAGUGCUAGGUUAUCGAUCUGGUGAUAUGAAUCUUGCAAACAGAGAAUCGAUGCUGCGAAAGAUUGAAAUGCCACUGUUCUCCGGGAAGCAACCUUACGUUUGGAUUACGGAGGUCGAACGUUGGUUUAGUAUUGGGAAGUAUGAUGACACAGAAAGGUUGGAAUUGGUGGGGCUGAGUCUGGAAGGAAAGGUGAAGAAAUGGUUUGGAUGGGAGUUGAAAAGAAGAGGAUUCAGAGAUUGGAGGGAGUUCAAAGAGAAAUUGGUAUUGAGAUUUGCUGAAUCUAUUGAAGAAGAACCAGAAAUACGCUUGUUUUCUAUCAAACAGACGGGGUCUGUAAGCGAUUACAUCUCGGAGUUUGAAGAAUUGUCAGGGUUGGUUAAAGGAUUGGAUGAUAAUCUUUUGAUCAAGAUUUUUUACACGGGGCUCAACCAAGAGAUGAAGGAAGUGAUAAGAAUAAAGGAGCCAGUGGGAUUGGAAAAUCAUAUUGCUGCUGUGUUGAGAAUGGAGUCUAGUGCCUUUUGCAAGGUGGUGAGUGAAGCAACUAAACAUGACAAGAUCGAGCACAAGCAGCAUCAACACAACCCACUAAGGUCUUCGUCCCAUUACAAUUCUCACAGAAGAUAUGUUGAUAGUGAGAAUAAGUUUACGAGUGCGGGAGGAUCUUCUUCUACGACCGCUCAACAAAAGAAGGAGAGUGAGAAUAGCAGUAGUAAUGAGAGUAAAGUGAAGAAAUACACUAAUGAAGAAUUGGACAGGAUGCGUAAAGAAUUCAUUUGUUUCAAAUGUGGAGCUAAGGGAUGGACAAGAGCUCACAAAUGUCCAAAUAAAGAUGUAAGAGUGAUGACUACACUCAACGGGUUACAAAUGGAAGUCGUGGAGGAUCAAGAGGACGACGGAGAAGAGUUCUUCUUUGAGGCUCAGAUGCAAGAGUUAUGCACAUUGUCAUUAAACUCGUAUUUGGGUGUUGGUUCGCCAAAGACCACCAAGUUAUAUGGAAAGAUUCAGAAGACUGAUGUGAUAGUGAUGCUAGACAGUGGGGCAUCUCACAAUUUCAUUACUCCAUCGAUUGUGACGAAACUUAAGUUGAAAGUUUGUGCAGAAACAAGUUUCGACAUCUUGCUAGGAAAUGGAGCCUCAGUCAACAGUUUGGGCGUGUGCAGAGAGGUUUCGUUCCAACUAGCAGAUGCGACUUUCACAUCAGAUUUUAUAGCUUUGGAACUUGGAAUGGUUGAUGUUAUUUUAGGCAUUCAAUGGCUCGAGACCUUAGGAAGAUGUGAGGUGGAUUGGAAGGAACAAGAACUGUCCUUUAUUCAUGGAGGAGUUAAAGUGACAUUGUUCGGGGAUCCAUCACUCCACACUUCCAAGCUCUCUAUGAAGUCUUUGUCUCCUAUUUCUACUAAGGUAGUAAAAGGAAGAGAAGAGCUUUUCACUAUCUCUAGUGGGGUAACAUCAACCGAUCCUAUGAUUCCGGAUAAGCUGUUAGACGUACUGGCUGAGUUUGAUCAGGUGUUUGCAUUGCCGACGGCUUUGCCUCCUUUUAGAGGAAAGAAUCAUGCGAUCAAUCUCAAACCAGGGGUGACUGCUAUCUCUGUGAGACCAUAUCGUUACCCACACAACACUAAGGUGGUGAUGGAACAAAUGGUCUGCGAAAUGUUGGAAGCAGGGAUAAUCAGAGAGAGCACAAGUCCGUUUUCAAGUCCAGUUUUGUUGGUAAAAAAGAAAGACGGAUCAUGGAGGUUUUGUAUUGAUUACAGGGCAUUGAACAAGGCUACGAUACCGGAUAAAUUCCCAAUUCCUGUAAUUGAUCAACUAUUGGAUGAGUUGUAUGGCGCCUCCGUUUUUUCUAAGCUGGACUUACGCUCGGGCUAUCAUCAAAUCCGUAUGCAAGAAGAAGACAUCCCAAAGACUGCUUUCAGGACAGUAGAAGGGCAUUAUGAGUUCCUAGUGAUGCCAUUUGGACUCACAAAUGCGCCGGCUACAUUCCAAGCAUUGAUGAACUCCAUUUUCAAGCCAUAUCUUCGAAAAUUCGUUCUCGUAUUCUUUGAUGAUGUGCUAAUAUACAGUAAGACUGUCGAGGAACACGCUGAACAUUUACGGCUGGUACUUUCAGUGUUACAGGAGCAUAAGUUGCUGGCUAACCGUAAGAAGUGUUCGUUUGGUCUUCAGCAGAUUGAGUAUUUGGGUCAUAUCAUAUCCAAGAACGGCGUAGCGACUGAUGCGAUCAAAACCCAGUGUAUGAAAGAGUGGCCAUUGCCGAAAUCAGUGAAACAGUUGAGAGGAUUUUUGGGACUAACAGGCUAUUACAGGCAUUAUGUGAAAGGUUAUGGUUCGAUCGCAAGACCAUUGACAGAAUUACUAAAAAAGGACGGUUUUCAGUGGUCUAAAGAAGCAGAGUUGGCGUUUGAUUCACUUAAGAAAGCAAUGGUAGAAGCACCGGUUCUAGCUUUACCAAACUUUGAAAAACCUUUUGUUAUUGAGUCGGAUGCAUCAGGCUUUGGCGUAGGGGCUGUAUUGAUGCAGGAUGGUAAACCAAUUGCGUUCUUCAGUCACGGUUUAACAGAGAGAGAGCAGAUGAAACCAGCUUAUGAACGCGAGCUGAUGGCAGUGGUUUUGGCGGUUCAGAAAUGGAAGCACUACUUGUUGGGGCGUCAGUUUGUGGUUCAUACAGAUCAUCGAAGCUUAAAAUACCUGUUGGAACAGAAGGAGGUAAAUAUGGAAUAUCAUCGCUGGCUGACGAAGUUAUUGGGCUUUGAUUUUAUCAUCGUGUACAAGCCAGGGUGUGAUAAUAAGGCAGCGGAUGGUUUAUCAAGGAUUGAGAGGAACGUGGUGAGAGAGAUGAGUUCGCUGUUGUUGGCUCUUACUAUACCAGCAGCACUUCAAGUGGAGGAUAUAUAUAAGGAGAUUGAAGCGUGUGUAGAGAUUCAGAAGAAAAUUCAGUGGAUUAAGGAAGGCAAAAUUGUUAAUGACAAGUUUAGAGUGAUUGAUGGAAAGCUCUGGUACAAACGCAGAUUGGUCAUACCAAAGGAUUCAGCCUCCAUUCCACUACUGUUAUCAGAAUAUCACGAUGGUCAACAAGGAGGACACUCAGGAGUUCUAAAAACAGUUAAGCGGAUUCAGUCGAUGUUUCAUUGGGAGGGUCUGUAUCAGAGGGUGCAGAAGUAUGUUUCUGAGUGUAACAUUUGCCAAACUCACAAAUAUUCUACACUAGCACCAGCAGGAUUGUUGCAGCCAUUACCCAUUCCGAAUCGUAUUUGGGAAGAUGUGUCAAUGGAUUUCGUGGAAGGGCUUCCAGGUUCUCAAGGGGUUAAUGUGAUCAUGGUGGUGGUUGAUCGGCUUAGCAAAUAUGCUCACUUCGUUGGACUGAAACACCCGUUUACUGCGGUAGAGGUGGCUUCAAAAUUCGUUUCUGAGGUUGUUAAGCAUCAUGGUUUUCCGCGUUCAAUUGUCUCUGACAGAGAUCGAGUGUUCUUGAGUUCGUUUUGGAAGGAUUUGUUCAGAGCUUCGGGAACUAAACUCAAGUACAGCACAGCUUUUCACCCACAAACGGAUGGCCAAACGGAAGUGUUAAACAGAUGUAUGGAGACGUAUCUCAGGUGUUUUGCGUCCAGUCAUCCAAGAACGUGGCACAAAUUUUUAUCUUGGGCUGAACUAUGGUACAAUACAUCUUUUCAUACAGCUUUGAAAGCUACUCCUUUUCAAGUGGUUUAUGGUAGGGAGCCACCAGCUAUUGUUCGUUUUGAAGAAGGUUCAACGAACAAUUAUGAUUUGGAGAUGGCUUUACGCGAACGUGAUGCGAUGUUGGUUCAGAUUCAGCAGCAUUUGCUGCGUGCUCAACAUUUGAUGAAAGCAAGUGCGGAUAAGCAUCGUAGAGAGUUGAGUUUUGCAGUAGGGGAUUGGGUAUAUUUGAAGCUAAAACCAUUCAGGCAACACACUGUGGUCCGUCGUUACUGUCAAAAGCUGGCAGCCAAAUAUUUUGGGCCUUAUGAGAUCAGUGAGCGCAUUGGGAAGGUUGCUUAUCGAUUAAAGUUACCAGACGAGGCUCGUAUUCAUCCUGUGUUUCAUAUCUCGCAAUUGAAGGCAGCGCUGGGACAUGGACAGUUUGUGCAAGCCAUUCCUCCUGUUUGUUCUGAUUUGACUGAUAUGGUUCUGCAACCAGAGAACAUCGUUGCAUCACGAGUCACGGAGGCUGGCAAGGAAGAGUUGUUGGUGAAAUGGAGGGAUCGUUUGGAUCAUGACAAUACGUGGAUGUUGCUGGAGGAGUUUAGGCUGCAAUUUCCGUCAUACAAGCUUGAGGGCAAGCUUAAUUUCAAAGGGGGGAGUAUUGAUAGGUAUAAACAUACUUAUUCGAGAAGAAGGUGGAAAGGAGCUGAGCUGGCAAGUGAGAAGGGAGCUGAGGAGCUUAAGUGACACGUGGAAAUCAUCAGAAGAAAGAUGGAUGAGUAUAAAUAGAUUUGUAGAGUGGCAGUUAGAGAGGAUCGAUCAUUUUACAAUAAUAUUGAUCUAAGCGUAUGAGCUUGAUCCUUACUCGUAUGAGAGUGAGAGAUUCGAUCGUAUGAGAUCGUCUCUAUUGUUGUAAUUUGAUUGAGCAAACCUUUAUAAGAAGUAUUCAGUUGAGUAUAGACUUUUAUACUUAACAAAGACUUAC
rnacentral:lncRNA from 1 species